AUGGCGAUUGAAUCUCUUCGUGACAAUCUGGGCACCGUCACAGCAACCGACGAACCAUACGAUGGUGAUUCCUCUUUCCAGCAGCAACUCACCAUGUACAAUUACAAGCUGAGAGGUCCGCACUUCUUUCCCCAGCCAACCACUGGAGCAAGAACAUAUCUGCAUCGUGCAGACACUGGCCCUGGGUUGUGCAAUGUCAACAGCAGCCUUGGACAGAACCAAAUUCAAAUCGCUGCGGAACAUCACCGGAUGAGAUCAAACGAUGCUCUUCACUACAUAAGCAAGAUGCUGAUGGAAGAUGUCGACGAGAGGGUCGACAUAUGCCAAGGGGAGGCUGCUGAGAAGCCGUUCCGUGACAUUCUUGGGCCGGUAUACACGCCGACCACUUACUGGCCGCCAUUGCAUAGCAACAACGAAACAGGUAUCUCUGAUAAGAGUGGCAGCAGCUGUCACAGGAGGCUCUGGAGCAAUAGCUUCAGUAAUUACUGUUCCGGUUACAGCGUGUUACGGCCCUUAACCACCCCGUUGAGUCCAUACAUCUGCAAUACGAGCCUUUCUCUACCAAACCAUCCGUUGACAAGUGUUGGACAGGCUUCUGGAUCUGGUUUCCCCACCUUGGAUUGUCAGAGAAGAGGCAUCGGGGAGGCAACGAUGUUUGCUCCAAGUAUUCAUAAACUGGUGAUAUAUUUAGAGAAUGGCAUACUUUCUAUUUCGCAACUAACUACAAAGGCAAAAAACAGGAGAGAGAAGCGAAAACGCAAUCUUUGCGCUGGCAGACCAAAGGGAGCGGGAUAUCUUGCAAGGAAUGGGCCAUAA
rnacentral:rRNA from 1 species